GGCAGAAAGAGCAGCAGCUGUGGCUGGAGCCACAUGAAGGAGCUGCUCUGGCACCAGCAGCUGAGCAGAGAGAGCAGUGGUUGGCUUCUGGACCAGGCUCCAGUGAACUGGUUUUUCAGAACAGACUCUAGAGAGUUACAUGUACUUAAUGGACAUAGCAUGCGUGGACACCAUCAUGGUUAAGCUUAUGCAGAUCUGCCUGGGGGAAGAUUGGUACUAAAGACAAUGUAAGGAAUGUAUCUGUUGGACAAUCAGAGGAGUUGCUUCAUUCCUAUGGACCCCAAAUUAGAAUU